rnacentral:rRNA from 1 species
UACGUAGGGCGCAAGCGUUAUCCGGAAUUAUUGGGCGUAAAGAGCUCGUAGGCGGUUUGUCGCGUCUGCUGUGAAAACUGGGGGCUCAACCCCCAGCCUGCAGUGGGUACGGGCAGACUAGAGUGCGGUAGGGGAGACUGGAAUUCCUGGUGUAGCGGUGAAAUGCGCAGAUAUCAAGGAGGAACACCCGGUGGGCGAAGGCGGGUCUCUGGGCCGAUACUG